rnacentral:misc_RNA from 1 species
GUGAGUCAUCGAAUCUUUGAACGCACAUUGCGCCCGUUAGUAUUCUGACGGGCAUGCCUGUUCGAGCGUCAUUUCAACCCUCAAGCACACCCCGCUUGGCGUUGGCGGCCUACUGCUCCUCUAAGUGUGCUGUAGCCGCCCAAAUACAUUGGCGGUCCCGCCGUGGCUCCCCUUGCGUAGUAACUCACCUCGCACCGGGUCCAGGCGGCGGCCUGCCGUAAAACCCUUUUUCAUUACAAGGUUGACCUCGGAUCAGGUAGGAAUACCCGCUGAACUUAAGCAUAUCAAUAAGCGGAGGA